rnacentral:rRNA from 1 species
UUUGGCCUCGGAUCAGGCGGGGAUACCCG